rnacentral:rRNA from 1 species
UGGGGAAUAUUGCACAAUGGAGGGAACUCUGAUGCAGCGACGCCGCGUGAGUGAUGAAGGAAUUCGUUUCGUAAAACUCUGUUCUAUGGGAAGAAAAGGACUGUACCAUAGGAGAAAGCUCCGGCUAAAUACGUGCCAGCAGCCGCGGUAAUACGUAUGGAGCGAGCGUUGUCCGGAAUUAUUGGGCGUAAAGGGUGCGCAGGCGGCUUUACAAGUUGGAUGUGAAAUAUUGUGGCUCAACCACAAACGUGCAUCCAAAACUGCAAAGCUUGAGUUAAGGAGAGGUAAGUGGAAUUCCUUGUGUAGCGGUGGAAUGCGUAGAUAUCAGGAGGAAUACCGGUGGCGAAGGCGACUUACUGGACUUACACUGACGCUCAGGCACGAAAGCGUGGGGAGCAAACAGG